rnacentral:rRNA from 1 species
UACAUGCAAGUAGAACGCACAGGAUGCACCGUAUUUUACUACACCGUAUUCUGUGAGUUGCGAACGGGUGAGUAACGCGUAGGUAACCUGCCUGGUAGCGGGGGAUAACUAUUGGAAACGAUAGCUAAUACCGCAUAAGAACAUUUACUGCAUGGUAGAUGUUUAAAAGGUGCAAAAGCAUCACUACCAGAUGGACCUGCGUUGUAUUAGCUAGUUGGUGAGGUAACGGCUCACCAAGGCAACGAUACAUAGCCGACCUGAGAGGGUGAUCGGCCACACUGGGACUGAGACACGGCCCAGACUCCUACGGGAGGCAGCAGUAGGGAAUCUUCGGCAAUGGGGGGAACCCUGACCGAGCAACGCCGCGUGAGUGAAGAAGGUUUUCGGUUCGUAAAGCUCUGUUGUUAAGGAAGAACGUGUGUGAGAGUGGAAAGUUCACACAGUGACGGUACUUAACCAGAAAGGGACGGCUAACUACGUGCCAGCAGCCGCGGUAAUACGUAGGUCCCGAGCGUUGUCCGGAUUUAUUGGGCGUAAAGCGAGCGCAGGCGGUUAGAUAAGUCUGAAGUGAAAGGCAGUGGCUCAACCAUUGUAGGCUUUGGAAACUGUUUAACUUGAGUGCAGAAGGGGAGAGUGGAAUUCCAUGUGUAGCGGUGAAAUGCGUAGAUAUAUGGAGGAACACCGGUGGCGAAAGCGGCUCUCUGGUCUGUAACUGACGCUGAGGCUCGAAAGCGUGGGGAGCGAACAGGAUUAGAUAUCCUGGUAGUCCACGCCGUAAACGA